rnacentral:rRNA from 1 species
AUACGGAGGAUCCGAGCGUUGUCCGGAUUUAUUGGGUUUAAAGGGUGCGCAGGCGGCCAUUUAAGUCAGCGGUUAAAUCGUGGGGCUCAACCCCAUUCUGCCGUUGAUACUGGGUGGCUUGAUUGCGGUCGAGGUUGGCGGAAUUCGUUGUGUAGCGGUGAAAUGCAUAGAUAUGACGAAGAACACCGAUUGCGUAGGCAGCUGACCAGACCGCAAAUGACGCUCAUGCACGAAAGGGCGGGGAUCGAACAGGAUUAGAUACCCUGGUAGUCCGCACAGUAAACGAUGAAUUCUUGUUUUCGGCGAUAUAAUGUCGGAGGCAAAGCGAAAGCGAUAAGUAAUCCACCUGGGGAGUACGCCGGCAACGGUGAAACUCAAAGGAAUUGACGGGG